AUUGAACGCUGGCGGCAUGCCUUACACAUGCAAGUCGAACGGUAACGCGGGGCAACCUGGCGACGAGUGGCGAACGGGUGAGUAAUGUAUCGGAACGUGCCCAGUUGUGGGGGAUAACUGCUCGAAAGAGCAGCUAAUACCGCAUACGACCUGAGGGUGAAAGCGGGGGAGUGCAAGACCUCGCGCAAUUGGAGCGGCCGAUAUCAGAUGAGGUAGUUGGUGAGGUAAAGGCUCACCAAGCCGACGAUCUGUAGCUGGUCUGAGAGGACGACCAGCCACACUGGACUGAGACACGGCCCAGACUCCUACGGGAGGCAGCAGUGGGGAAUUUUGGACAAUGGACGCAAGUCUGAUCCAGCCAUGCCGCGUGCGGGAAGAAGGCCUUCGGGUUGUAAACCGCUUUUGUCAGGGAAGAAACGCUCUGGGUUAAUACCCCGGGGUAAUGACGGUACCUGAAGAAUAAGCACCGGCUAACUACGUGCCAGCCGCCGCAGUAACAC
rnacentral:rRNA from 1 species